AACCCCUCUACUUAGUGCCCGAAAGGGUGACGAAGCGACGCCGCGUGCGGGAGGAAGGCCUUCGGGUUGUAAACCGCUGUCGGGAGUUAGGAAAUGCAAGGAUGUUAAUAGCGUUCUUGCUUGACUAAGGCUCCGGAGGAGGCCACGGCUAACUCUGUGCCAGCAGCCGCGGUAAUACAGAGGCGGCAAGCGUUGUUCGGAAUUAUUGGGCGUAAAGAGCACGUAGGCGGCUGUGUAAGUCGGUUGUGAAAGCCUUCCGCUCAACGGAAGAACGGCAUCCGAUACUGCAUGGCUUGAGUGCGGGAGGGGAGAGUGGAACUUCUGGUGGAGCGGUGAAAUGCGUAGAUAUCAGAAGGAACACCGGCGGCGAAGGCGACUCUCUGGUCCAUAACUGACGCUGAGUGUGCGAAAGCUAGGGGAGCAAACGGGAUUAGAUACCCCGGUAGUCCUAGCCGUAAACGAUGGGCACUAAGUAGAGGGGUU
rnacentral:rRNA from 1 species